rnacentral:rRNA from 1 species
GUGAGGAAUUUUGCGCAAUGGGGGCAACCCUGACGCAGCGACGCCGCGUGGAGGACGAAGUCUUUCGGGAUGUAAACUCCUGUCAGUGGGGACGAUAAUGACGGUACCCACAGAGGAAGCACCGGCUAACUCCGUGCCAGCAGCCGCGGUAAGACGGAGGGUGCAAGCGGUGUUCGGAAUUACUGGGCGUAAAGCGUAUGUAGGCGGCAAGUUAAGUUCAAUGUUAAAGCCCACGGCUCAACCGAGGAGAUGCAUUGAAUACUGGCUAGCUAGAGGGUGUUAGAGGAAGACGGAAUUCCCAGUGUAGCGGUGAAAUGCGUAGAUAUUGGGAGGAACAUCGGUAGCGAAAGCGGUCUUCUGGGACAUACCUGACGCUGAGGUACGAAAGCGUGGGGAGCAAACGGGAUUAGAAACCCCUGUAGUCC